rnacentral:rRNA from 1 species
UACGUAGGGGGCAAGCGUUGUCCGGAAUCAUUGGGCGUAAAGAGCGUGUAGGCGGCCCGGUAAGUCCGUUGUGAAAGUCGAGGGCUCAACCCUCGAAUGCCGGCGGAUACUGUCGGGCUAGAAUCCGGAAGAGGCGAGUGGAAUUCCUGGUGUAGCGGUGAAAUGCGCAGAUAUCAGGAGGAACACCGAUGGCGAAGGCAGGUCUCUGGGCAUUAACUGACGCUGAGGAGCGAAAGCAUGGGGAGCGAACAGG